AUUGAACGCUGGCGGCGUGCUUAACACAUGCAAGUCGAUCGGUAACAGGUGUAGCAAUACAUGCUGACGAGAGGCGGACGGGUGAGGAACGCUUGGGAAUCUGCCUAUCAGCGGGGGACAACCCGGGGAAACUCGGGCUAAUACCGCAUACGCUCUACGGAGGAAAGCCGGGGACCGCAAGGCCUGGCACUGAUAGAUGAGCCCAAGUCGGAUUAGCUAGUUGGCGGGGUAACGGCCCACCAAGGCGACGAUCCGUAGCUGGUCGGAGAGGACGAUCAGCCACACCGGAACUGAGACACGGUCCGGACUCCUACGGGAGGCAGCAGUGGGGAAUAUUGGACAAUGGGGGAAACCCUGAUCCAGCGACGCCGCGUGGGUGAAGAAGGCCUGCGGGUUGUAAAGCCCUUUCGGUAGGGAAGAAAUCUCUUGCUCUAACAAAGCAGGAGUUUGACUUAACCUACAUAAGAAGCACCGGCUAACUCUGUGCCAGCAGCCGCCGUAACAC
rnacentral:rRNA from 1 species